AUUGAACGCUGGCGGCAGGCUUAACACAUGCAAGUCGAGCGGGGGAAGGUAGCUUGCUACCGGACCUAGCGGCGGACGGGUGAGUAAUGCUUAGGAAUCUGCCUAUUAGUGGGGGACAACAUCUCGAAAGGGAUGCUAAUACCGCAUACGUCCUACGGGAGAAAGCAGGGGAUCUUCGGACCUUGCGCUAAUAGAUGAGCCUAAGUCGGAUUAGCUAGUUGGUGGGGUAAAGGCCUACCAAGGCGACGAUCUGUAGCGGGUCUGAGAGGAUGAUCCGCCACACUGGGACUGAGACACGGCCCAGACUCCUACGGGAGGGAGCAGUGGGGAAUAUUGGACAAUGGGGGGAACCCUGACCCAGCCAUGCCGCGUGUGUGAAGAAGGCCUUAUGGUUGUAAAGCACUUUAAGCGAGGAGGAGGCUACUUUAGUUAAUACCUAGAGAUAGUGGACGUUACUCGCAGAAUAAGCACCGGCUAACUCUGUGCCAGCAGCCGCCGUAA
rnacentral:rRNA from 1 species